GAUGAAGAACUUAGCGAAAUGCGAUAAGUAAUGUGAAUUGCAGAAUUCAGUGAAUCAUCGAAUCUUUGAACGCACAUUGCGCCCGCCAGUAUUCUGGCGGGCAUGCCUGUCCGAGCGUCAUUUCAACCCUCGAACCCCUCCGGGGGGUCGGCGUUGGGGACCUCGGGAGCCCCUAAGACGGGAUCCCGGCCCCGAAAUACAGUGGCGGUCUCGCCGCAGCCUCUCCUGCGCAGUAGUUUGCACAACUCGCACCGGGAGCGCGGCGCGUCCACGUCCGUAAAACACCCAACUUCUGAAAUGUUGACCUCGGAUCAGGUAGGAAUACCCGCUGAACUUAAGCAUAUCAAUAAGCGGAGGA
rnacentral:misc_RNA from 1 species